rnacentral:rRNA from 1 species
AUUGAACGCUGGCGGCAGGCUUAACACAUGCAAGUCGAACGGUAACAUAAAGAAGCUUGCUUCUUUGAUGACGAGUGGCGGACGGGUGAGUAAUGCUUGGGAAUCUAGCUUAUGGAGGGGGAUAACUACGGGAAACUGUAGCUAAUACCGCGUAAUAUCGAAAGAUUAAAGUGUGGGACCUUCGGGCCACAUGCCAUAGGAUGAGCCCAAGUGGGAUUAGGUAGUUGGUGAGGUAAAGGCUCACCAAGCCGACGACCUCUAGCUGGUCUGAGAGGAUGACCAGCCACACCGGGACUGAGACACGGCCCGGACUCCUACGGGAGGCAGCAGUGGGGAAUAUUGCGCAAUGGGGGCAACCCUGACGCAGCCAUGCCGCGUGAAUGAAGAAGGCCUUCGGGUUGUAAAGUUCUUUCGGUGACGAGGAAGGCGUGAUGUUUAAUAGGCAUCACGAUUGACGUUAAUCACAGAAGAAGCACCGGCUAACUCCGUGCCAGCAGCCGCGGUAAUACGGAGGGUGCGAGCGUUAAUCGGAAUAACUGGGCGUAAAGGGCACGCAGGCGGCUAUUUAAGUGAGGUGUGAAAUCCCCGGGCUUAACCUGGGAAUUGCAUUUCAGACUGGGUAGCUAGGGUACUUUAGGGAGGGGUAGAAUUCCACGUGUAGCGGUGAAAUGCGUAGAGAUGUGGAGGAAUACCGAAGGCGAAGGCAGCCCCUUGGGAAUGUACUGACGCUCAUGUGCGAAAGCGUGGGGAGCAAACAGG